rnacentral:lncRNA from 1 species
AAUGAAGGAAAGCAGAGAUGGAUGAGUCAAGGAAGGAAUAAGUGAAUGUUCUCACAUCGCUAGAGGGCUUUGUUAUUUGCUUUUACUUUUGUGGUUAUAGAAGCUGAUUGUAGGGAAUUUGCAAAAUGAAGAUAAGUAUAAAAAUGAGAAUCAAAAUCACAGAGGAAACCCCCUGGGGUCUUCAUUUGCAGGUUUGUGCUUUUGCCAACAUAUAUAGCUAGUUAUGUAAAUUUAAUGCAUGGAAAUUCUGUGCAACCUCCGCCUCCCGGAUUCAAGCGAUUCUCCUGCAUCAGCCUCCUGAGUAGCUGGGACUAUAGAUGUGCACCACCAUACCCAGCUAAUUUGUAUAUUUUUAGUUGAGAUGGGGUUUUGUCAUAUUGAUCAGGCUGAUCUUGAAUUCCUGAACUCAAGUGAUCUG